rnacentral:lncRNA from 1 species
CCAAGCCUCAGAUUUCACUCAUGGCACCUUGAACCCCGGGAAGUGGAUGGGGAGCUGGCAGGGAUGGUGUCAGGACAGCUCCAAAAGAAGCCCAUUGCUUGAGUAAAAAUUUCUAGCCCUGCCUGAGCCGUGAUGCAUUAUGAGUUUCAGUUCAGGGCCAGGAAGAGAUGAAUCAAAGGAAAGUAACGCGAUGUGUGGAAAUAGCAGAGUUUGUCCUUCAUGAUCCCUAUCACACAGAGCUGCUGGCUGGAUCUGGAUGGAGGAUCAGAUCGGAGGCCCAGGAUGAGCACAGGGU